UACGUAGGGGGCGAGCGUUGUCCGGAUUUAUUGGGCGUAAAGAGCGUGUAGGCGGUUCGGUAAGUCUGUCGUGAAAUCCUGAGGCUCAACCUCGGGCGUGCGAUGGAUACUGCCGGGCUAGAGGAUGGUAGAGGCGAGUGGAAUUCCCGGUGUAGCGGUGAAAUGCGCAGAUAUCCGGAGGAACACCAGUGGCGAAGGCGACACGCUGGGCCGUACCUGACACUGAGGAGCGAAAGCGUGGGGAGCGAACAGG
rnacentral:rRNA from 1 species